rnacentral:tRNA from 1 species
UGGGGUGUCGUCAAGUGGUAAGACACAGGUUUUUGGAGCCUGCAUUCGGAGGUUCGAAUCCUCCCACCCCAGCCA